rnacentral:rRNA from 1 species
AUACAGAGGGUGCGAGCGUUAAUCGGAAUUACUGGGCGUAAAGCGCGCGUAGGCGGCUUAUUAAGUCAGAUGUGAAAUCCCCGGGCUCAACCUGGGAACUGCAUCUGAUACUGGUAAGCUAGAGUUUUGGAGAGGGAAGUAGAAUUUCAGGUGUAGCAGUGAAAUGCAUAGAGAUCUGAAGGAAUACCAGUGGCGAAGGCGACUUCCUGGCCAAAAACUGACGCUGAGGUGCGAAGGCGUGGGUAGCAAACGGGAUUAGAUACCCUAGUAGUCC